rnacentral:misc_RNA from 1 species
ACUACUAAGGCUCAGCCUUGCGGUGGCCGCCGCUCUCUACUUCCCUUCGGGGGGAUGGGGAGCGAGGCUCAAACCAGUGGGCGCGUCCUCUACGGUUGUCCAGCGUAGCAAGUCUCUCGCUGAACGAACGGUGGGAGGGGGCGCCAGUCGAAUAACGAACGCUUGGCCUCGAAUCAGGUAGGGAUACCCGCUGAACUUAA